UGGCUUCUGUUAAAUCAUAUAAUUUUUGCGUUCCUGUAUACUAUUAACAUAUGUUUAUUAUAAAUACAGUGAAUUUGCAUCUAACCAUCAAUUCCAAGUGUCUUCUCCACGGGAUCACUGCUUUAUUUUAUAGACAGUUUGUAUUUAUUAUAGUAGUAUACUCAUAGUAUACAUGCAGAAUAACGCGAAAAUAAGUGUCCUGUCCCCGAGUAAGAGUUAUAGUUAAAAGUUUAAAAUCGGAAGCCCUGUCUAUAACUUAAAAGUCGGUCUGAUGAUGGAAACAAUAUCCGGACGCCUUUUUUUCGUUUUUUCCCCAAAACAAAACAAAACUGAAUAAUGGUAAGAAUGGAUGACAAAUGCGAAUAUGCAUGGUAUCUGUAGGACACAGAGGAAUGUUGAUUGAUUUAUUGCGGAAGGAAGAGAAGCGACACACAAAACAUGCAAAAGGGGGUCUUCUCGUUUAAUAGUAUUGAUAUUAUUUUAUUUAUCUCGUAUGUUAAAUCCACCCAUAAACGAUUGAACGAUUUUAAGUAUUGGAAACAAAACAUUACCCUGACAGGCACAUGGUUAGGUUAACAAUAAAUCUGGUGUAGAAUUGCACGUUUGACGUACAAAAUGUACAUUAGUUGAUCAAAUGAACGGUACCGAUUUUUUUUUUAUCCAAAGCAAUCAC
rnacentral:lncRNA from 1 species